UGGGGAAUAUUGGACAAUGGGCGCAAGCCUGAUCCAGCAAUGCCGCGUGAGUGAUGAAGGCCUUCGGGUUGUAAAGCUCUUUCGCCUGCGAGGAUGAUGACGGUAGCAGGAGAAGAAGCCCCGGCUAACUUCGUGCCAGCAGCCGCGGUAAUACGAAGGGGGCGAGCGUUGUUCGGAUUUACUGGGCGUAAAGGGCGCGUAGGCGGCGAUGUAAGUCAGGCGUGAAAGCCCCGGGCUCAACCUGGGAAUUGCGCUUGGGACUACAUUGCUGGAGUUCGGGAGAGGAGCGUGGAAUUCCCAGUGUAGAGGUGAAAUUCGUAGAUAUUGGGAAGAACACCGGUGGCGAAGGCGGCGCUCUGGACCGAUACUGACGCUGAGGCGCGAAAGCGUGGGGAGCAAACAGGAUUAGAUACCCUGGUAGUCCACGCUGUAAACGAUGUGUGCUAGACGUUGGGGAGCCUAGCUCUUCGGUGUCGCCGCUAACGCUGUAAGCACACCGCCUGGGGAGUACGGCCGCAAGGUUA
rnacentral:rRNA from 1 species